rnacentral:rRNA from 1 species
GAUGAACGCUGGCGGCGUGCCUAAUACAUGCAAGUCGAGCGAAUGGAUUAAGAGCUUGCUCUUAUGAAGUUAGCGGCGGACGGGUGAGUAACACGUGGGUAACCUGCCCAUAAGACUGGGAUAACUCCGGGAAACCGGGGCUAUACCGGAUAACAUUUUGAACCGCAUGGUUCGAAAUUGAAAGGCGGCUUCGGCUGUCACUUAUGGAUGGACCCGCGUCGCAUUAGCUAGUUGGUGAGGUAACGGCUCACCGAGGCAACGAUGCGUAGCCGACCUGAGAGGGUGAUCGGCCACACUGGGACUGAGACACGGCCCAGACUCCUACGGGAGGCAGCAGUAGGGAAUCUUCCGCAAUGGACGAAAGUCUGACGGAGCAACGCCGCGUGAGUGAUGAAGGCUUUCGGGUCGUAAAACUCUGUUGUUAGGGAAGAACAAGUGCUAGUUGAAUAAGCUGGCACCUUGACGGUACCUAACCAGAAAGCCACGGCUAACUACGUGCCAGCAGCCGCCGUAA